UCGGAGUCCGGGCUUUCGGGCGGUGGAGACUCGAGGGUUUUGAGGAGGGACGACCUGGCAAAAGGUGCCUGCCUGUGAGCGGAGAGCAGUGCUCACAGGCUCACCCUGGGGGUGCAGGUGGCUCUGUGCUUGGAGCCUGGGCUCGGCUACCUGGUGUGCGGUCACCUUGGAUCUCAGGAAGGGGAGCUCUUGAGAGACUCAGCUUGGAGACGUGGGAAGAGCGCUCAGCAAGAAGCCGAGAUCCCCCCCGGGUUCCUGGGCUCAGGGCUCAGUAGAGAAAAAGUCUGGAAAGGACAUUUUGCAAAAUUGAUUUCUCCCCUUCUCCAACCUGACUUCGAGUGGCCACGGGAGCAGUGGGGCUGGUUUGGUCUGUCAGCAGCUGUCACCGGUGCUCCAGCCUCAGCUCAGCUGGGAAGCAGAGGAAGGAGGUGCUGGGGUCAUCGACACAGUGCUUCGCUCCUCCUGGGCCCUCAUGCGUCACCUGGGCUCCAGCUGGACCCGCGCUCCCUCCUGGAAUUGUCAGUCAUCCUGACACGGGAGGAGCACGACUUCCUAGGGAACUGUUUGUGUCUCUGCUGUCCUUUCUUGGUGGCAGCAUGGUCAGAGCUGGUGUGGUCCAAGGCCCGUGCAGACAGCACUACCCUCUCUGGUCAGAACGGUAUGCAGCAGUCUUGACCGACCGACCGAGCGACCGACCGACCAACCCUCCGCUUUGGUGUUGUGCUGAGCUACCUCCUUUUCCACCGUCCUUGUCGUGUUUGUCCCGGUGAUGUUGGGUGGGCUGCUUGUUGCAUGGACUCUUUCCAACCCGAGCACACACUUUAGGGCUCUCCAACUCCCUGCUUGGGAGGAGGCCCUGGGUGUCCGCUCCCCCGGGCCUCGUCCCUCUUCCUCCGGUCUCCAGGGAGCCCGCACCAGCCUCCUGGCCUCAUGGCCUCAGUCUCGUGUGUUGGGUGCUGCUGAUGCUGCCCUGGUCCCGGAGGAGGGAGUUUCGUCGUAAGCCUGGAAGGGAGAGACGUCGCCCUUCUCCUUGGCGUCUGUCUCACUUCCCAGGGUGACAGUGUCGGCCCCCAUGUCUGCACACCCGAGGGGUCUCCUGAGUGCCACUUUCCUAGGGGCCGCAGCAGGUGCAUCUCGGUGACCUCAGCACGGGGAGGUGGAGGUGGGCCUUUCUGGGUGUCCUCUCCAGAUGGCAUUCGAACCCCUGCUUCGUUGGCCAGAAGGGCUCUGGCAGGAUGCGGGCCGGGCUGCGGACGAGUGGGCCGUGGGUGAGUGGCGUGGCCUUCGGGAUGUGGUCUGAGUGGGGAAGGCCUGGGGCACAACAGGUGAUAGGAAUCGGCCCUGGAGGACAAAGUCGGGGGGGCCGCGGGGCCGCUGAGAGGACGAACAGUCCAGAGAACACGGAAGGGAAAGGUCACAGUGCGAAAACCUGACUGGAGGAAAACAGGAGCCCAGGAAAGCGUGAGUGCAGCAGGGUCCCCGGGGGGCUUCGCAGACACUGCGGAGGCCGCUUCCGGCCGUGCUUCCUGUGGGGGCCCUGGGGGCGGCUCUCCAGAGGAGGCUGGCGCCCGUGGGGAGCCAGGUCCUGGGAGUCGGAGAGGCAAGGGCUCAAGGGAGCCGGGCUUCGCUUUCCAGCACCUUCAGUGCCUGCGGGGGGCUGCUCGCAGAGCCCAGGCCGUGGGUCUCAGGGUCCUGCUGCGGCCGCUGCGCGGUGGCUGCUGUCCCGUUUGCAUUGCUCUGAAGAGAGCCUGAGAUUAGGGCGAAGGCCGUGAUUUCUGAGGAGCGGGAGAGGAGAAGCGGGCGCAGGGUCUGGGCCCAGCUCCGUGGAGAGGGCAGAGGCUCCGGCACCACCCCCACCUCUGCCCAGCCGGGCCCCGCAGGCGGCGCUGGGCCUGCUCUCCGGGCACAGCUGGAGCAGGAGCCUUCAGGACGGUUUCAUUUAUCUCUGUGUCCCCACUGCUAGCGCGGGGCAUGCGACGGCACACAGCUCUGUAAGAAACAGAAGCAGUGUCACCGUGAAAAUAUCCUUUGCAUACCAAGGUCACCCGGAGCACGGCCCAGACUGACACAGACCGAGGGAGCGAGUGUGCCCCGAGCGAACACAGACAACAUUUCCAAAGGCUCAGGCACGGCAUGGCCCCUUCCUCCCUGGUCAGUCACACAGACUCCAUGGCUAAGAAGCCCCAGACCAGCUUGUGGGCGCACUGAGCAUUGCGGGACACAUCUGCCACCAUCUCCACACUGUCAGGGUCCCUGGGUGUUCGCGCAUUGCGGGGGGUUGUGUGUUAGAACGACCCGAGAGCUCUAGCCAGAUGUGUACUGACCCAGAAGGGCCGAGCUGCCUGUACCUCCGGGACAGAGACCAGCCAUCCGGAUUCGACUUUGCACGGCGGCGAGGUGACUCUUCUAGGAGAUGCCUUGGAGAGCCUGCCGAGGCUCGUCCAGGCCAAGUGAGCUGAAGAGCUUCCCUGUCUUCACGUGGGACAGGAAGUGGACAGCAAGCUCUCUCAGGCUGCUUAGGGUGCCAGUCCUGCUUGUAAGGGCUCUGCCUGCAGGACCAAAUCACUGCUCAGAAGGGCCCUCCUCCUGUUCCCGUCACUGGGGCCAAGGACUUGAAGAGGCUCGGACACCCCAAUUGCCGCAGAUUGCUGGGACAGGGGCUGGUGGAGAAAGGUUUCUGACGAGGGCAUGAAGUUGAGCAGUGUGCAACCUGCCCAGCUGUGCAGAGAAGGUGCAUGGGUGAUGGAAAGUGGAGAAGCUGCCACGGGCCACCUAGGGCCAGGGUGACUCACGCGCUCCUGGCUGUGUUCCCUGGGCAAGGACUGAGGAGUGGACAGCUGUGACCCCUGAGGCUUCUCUCUGCUCCUCUCUCCUUCCUGCUCGCCUUCUCAGAGGUGGGUGAAGAUGCCACGUUCGUGCCCUGCUCUGUCCGUGGCCGCAGCUCUGUAGCAGCCUCAGGCCGCAGCCCAAGUGAGUGAAGAUGGACUUCCCAGGCCGCUUGGCCUUGGUUACCGUUCACCCAGCUGUCCCCACGCCGGGCUGGUGCCCUACAGCCUUCUCGCUCUCCAUGCCUUCCCCGUUUCCCUCUCGAGGGCAGGGCAGGGGCUUUGCCUUUCAGGGUUCCUCUCCCGUCCGCCCCAUCACGCCGGGAAGCAGUCCUGAGUGAGUGUGGUUCCGCUCUGCUCACCCGGUGGGGGUAGUGGCCUGGCGCCACCACUGGGCCUGGAGCAGCCCCUCCCUCCGCCCCAGGGAGGUGACGGCCCCGGGGCUCUGCGGCUUGGCGCCCAAGGUGACGGGAGGAUCUGGAGCUCCGUGGGGUGGGGUGCCUGGGGGGGACCCAGAGGUGGGGGAGGAAGCCUCGGAGUGUGGAGAGACAGUGGAGCCCUGGCAAGGCGCCGGCCUGUGACCGGGAGGCCGAGGCCGGGAGGGACACUGCGCAGCUUCGUCAGAGUGGGCGGGAACUUCAGGGAGUGGUGCCUCCGGGGUGCCGGGGUGUGGACGUCUGCAGGCCUCUGUCCCCACCCGAGCCACAGGGCACACAGAGACAGCUGCUCCCCAGCGUGACCACGGCUUGUGAGAGAGGGGUCUGCAGGCGAUGGCCGGCUCUGCUGUCCUGCUCUGAGGGUGACAGUCCCCCGGCAGAGUGCCUAGAUGAGUCUAAUAAUGCUGUCCGUUCUUCUGGCGACUUUGCCUUCUGCUGAUGGAGAGUGGCAAGGAACCCUGACUGCUCUGGCAAGCUUGGGCCACAACCCUGGGGUGAGGGCUUCUCGUGCUUUGGGUGUCCCCCAGCACCAUGCCCUCCCAGGUCUCACUGGCACCACCUCCCUGUGGCACAGGGCGUCCUCGAGGAGGGGGGAUUCUUAGCCCAGCAUGGGCACAGGCAUUGCCUGGACAGCUUUCCCUGUGGGAAUCAAAGAAACUCCCCAGGGCUUCUGGUAGACCCGGAUCUGAUUACUGCCCUUGGCCUGUACUGAGAGACGGUGGAAAAGACUCUCUCCUUCAUCCACUCCUUUUUCUUUUUGCCAGUAUGCAGCAGACAUUGACACCUGCCAGUGUAGCUUCACUUUUUUCCUUUUAGAAUUUAAACCCUAAAAUUAUUUUACUUUAAAUUUUAUUUUAAAAAUUUUUUGAGAGCGCACGUUUGCAGUACGUAGUGAUUCCAUUCAUGUGGGGCUUGGGUACACGAACAGAGCACACCCGAUUCUCUUUAUGUCCCUCCCCUCCCUCCUCCUCCUCCCUCCAUCUCUUGGCUGCUUUCCUACUUGGAAAAGACUACAUUUUAAAAAGGAAUUCAUUGGGAUGAUGUGGAUGGAAUCAUGAGAGAACGAUGACCGACCAGGAGAACCCUAAAACCCAUGAAGCAGUCUUCUCUGGGGCCUGCCCAUCCGAUGCACAGCUCUGCAUCACCCACUUGAAGUCCCAGCACCCUCAAGACUCAGAGCCUCAUCUAAGCCAAGCUCUGUCUCAGCCCUGCGGGCUGGGGAUGUCUCGACCCAGCUGAGCCUGAAAGGAAACUGAGUUUGAUUAGCAAAGGAAGAGGACAGUUGCUGGGAACGUACAAACAGCAGGUGCCAAUCACUGCUGCCCAUGAGAAUCCUCUACACACGGUGAAAGCUGCCUAACCACCUGCCUUGGCUUUUCUGAGCAGCUUGGGUUAGAGGGAUUAGCUCCACCUGCAGAGGAACAGCCUGCAUCACUGAGACAAGGCUGAGACCCAGGUGCAGGUUUGGGGGUUCUCCAUGGCGCACUGGGCCCGGGCUCCUCACCUCUCUGAAGACUGGGACUGAUUCGCUAACGGGGCAGUCGCUGCCAUUGCCAGAUGCAUGGUGCCUCCUGGAGCCUGCAGUAAGAAACCUUGACUCUGAAUCUGGAGCUGUCUCCCAGAGCCCUUAGCUGGCGGACCAGGUGCCCCUCAGGCUGGCUUGACUGGUGCUUCUUGGGAUGAGCACAAAGCCCAAGCCCUGUGAUGUUGCUUGGCUUUUAACUUGAGAUUUCAGCUUUGACUCACUAUUUACACCAUAGCUUCAUGAAUAGUCUUCUUUCCUUUUUUGUGUAGGUUGCUACAAUGCCUUAGAUAAUAGCUCCAGUGCGGGACUUUGUUGGCGCUCCAGCCUGUAUUUCCUGAUCUAAUUUCUACCUUUGCUUGUUUCUGCUGUGUACUGAUUGCAUGAUCAUGUGAUGUGUAUUUACUAUGACUGGUUUUAUCCCUUUUGUGGGGAAAGCCUUGGUGGAAAUAGCAGAGCUUCUCCUCAAAUGGUUAUUGGCUCUGUGUGCUCAGGAAAGAUACUCACUUCUCUGUGCCCCAGUCUUCUAAACAAUGCCCUGCCUGUGCUGCUGGGUAGUUUAGGGGUCAGGUGAAUUUGUGUGCAGAAGGGGGUCUGCCUGGCCUCAUUACACACCCAGGAGGCAGCCACCUGGUGAGGAGUGAUAGUGCAGUGACGCACAUAGAGAUUUACUCAGUGUCUUGGUCACUUUUCUCGUUGCUGAGACAAAAUACCUGACAUCCAAAGUCAAAGGAGGAAAGGUUUAUUUGGCUCACACUGUGUAGAGCUUUCAGUGUAUAGUCAGCUGGCUCCAAGGUAGGGUUGCCUGACAGAGGAGAAACAGUCCAUGGCAGGCAGAAGGCAGCAAGCAGCAAGGGAUGACCACAGGUCUCUCUGUCCUUUCUAUCUUAUCCAGGCUACCAACCCUUAGAACGGGUGGCACUCGCACCCUUAAUCUUAGCAUUGCACCAUGAUUCGAACCCAGCAUCACGCCCUUGAUCCCAGCAGCAUAAAUGCUAGAUUCAGCCAUCUCUGAAAAGUGCCCCCUCUGACUGCACGUGGCUUUGGGGGACAUCUAGACACAGCCAUAAGGUCCUGUGGCCUGAACUUUGGCAAAGUUGAGGGAAAGGACAAGCUAGGAGGCAGAGAGGGUGCUUCGGAACUGAGAUGAAGCCACAUCGCCCCUUACCCACUCGGGGGCACAGGGCUCCUGCAGACCCACCUCUCAGGGUGCACUCUGAGGUGCACUGCACACGCACACUGCACCCCUCCAUGAGAACUCAGGGAUGGGCUGGGGAGGCUGAGUCAUGCACCGGGCUCCUUUGUUACCUGGGCCCUGAUUGGAAACCUGCAUACUGGGGGAAGGAGGAGCAAUUUUAAGGGCUCCUGGCUCACACAGAGUCUGUCCCACCUCAUCCAAGCACCCGUCUUAUUAUGCGAUAAAUCACUUGAGAUUUAUGAGCCCCUUGCUUCUAAAUAUUAUUUUAUUUUCCCAGAGAUGAAAGUCUAUUUGGCUUUUGAGUAACCUUGGGGAGAUCUUUUCCCUUUAGUGGGUUUUGACACCAUCCUCAGGACCUCCGUGUGUUGGAGAUGGGCUCCCACCAAUGUGGACGCUCCCGAGCCCCUGUGUCCAGGACCAUGCAGUCCAUACGCCAGGAAUGAGGGAGGCCAAACACACAGGAUGAGCUGCACUGAGCUACAUCUCCAAUCCCCUUUUUGAAAAAGAAUUUUGAGACAAAUUCUUACUAAGCUGCCUGGGCUGGGCUCAAACUUGCAAUCCUCCUGUCUCAGCCACCCAGAGUGCUGGGAUCACAGGUGUGUGCACCAUGCCAAGCUAAGUCAUCUUCAUGAACUAUUCAGUGUUUGUGUGGAGGUGAGAGACUGAUUUCCUAAUAGUAACAGUUUUACAUAAAAGAAGCACUUAUUUCUUAUUAGAUGGACAGUUUGAAGAGAUUCAACAAAAAUAUUUCCUAAUUUUCUGUGGCUCUUCUUUUUAAAGAAACUAAAUUUUCUCAAAAAUUAAUUCAGCAUAUUAAAAAAAACUAAUAGCUUAAAAAAAAUCAAAUGGGAUUGUAAGGUUUAAAAUGUAACAUAGGCAUUCUCUCCUCCCAGUUUGCCCUCAAAUGGCUUGAAACAAGAACUUUCACCUCUUCUUUCCUUCCUCUAAAUAAUAUGUGUAUUUUAUUAGAAGUAGCAUUGCAGGUUAUUUUUUAAUCUGUCAACUUGUAUGGUAUUUAUUAACUUCAUCUAGAGUGACACCCUACCACCACUUACAUUGUCCCUCCCCACCUUCUUGAUAUAGUAACAUCACAACUUUUGGUUCAAUGUCUGUGUUUACAUUUUUAAGGCUGAAAGGUUGCUCAUAGUUGAAUCAAGCAGUGUAGUACAAUUAUGUCCCAUGCUUGAGAAAGGGCCUCACUUUCCCCCUUGACUUACUGUGUAUGCAGGGCAUUUCUGCCAUCUUUCAUCCAUGCCCAGUACUCCUAAAGAUCUUUCCAUGUUUUGUCAACCUUUGUCUCAGAUAUGUAAAAUCUAUCUUUCCUCAUGAUCAGAGAAUCCUCCAGAUAGAGGCUUUUUUUCUGCUCCCAUCUGCCCUGUUUUUUCCUCAGGUUGGUACUGGCCUGUUUUUCAAGGUUUUGCUCUUACCGAGUCCUCUGAUUUAUCUCCUGCUCCUCCUAUUUCUGGUUUAUGUUUUCCUUUGGUUAAAAUACAUCCUCCAGUAGCUUCCUAAGAAAGGACGCAUGGAACAUAUGUUUUUGGGUCAUUGUAUGGGCUUUGUCUUUUUUCUGUCCUCAUACUUGAUUGACUGUUCAGAAAUGGAACCCCAGUUUGAAAUUAAAUUCACCCCAGAACUGAGCUGUAAUUCCAUUGCUUUUUAGCAUUCAUAAUUGCGGUUACAAUGUCUGAUGUAAUUCUUAGUGUCUUUGUAUAGUGUUUAUGUUACUUUAUUUAUUUAUUUUUGGUCUUUCUGGAAUUUAAAAGACUCUCUUUAGCUCUGAUGCCCUGAUAUUUGAUGAUGAAGUACCUUCAUGUGAAUUUUUAAAAAAUAAUUCUCUGAGGCCCACAGUGGAACUUGGGAGAUGUCAGUCCUCUAAUUUUUUUAAAAAAACUGUAUUGUUUAUUUGCUAAUUUCCCCCCAUUCUUUCACCUGAAGUUCCAAAGAGUUAAGUAUUACAUCUUUUAGAUCAGAAUUUUUCUCAUAUCAGACAGAUAAAAAAAAUUUAGCAGGUUGUAAUGAGUAUUUAAAAAAAAAUAGAAUAGACUGGAAUAAAAUAGGUAAAUCCAGUCCGCAUGUGUAAUGGGUAACUUUAUGUGCCUAUUUGAAUAGGCUGAGGGAUAUUCAGUUAGCUGGUAAAACAUUUCUUUCAGGUGUGUCUGUGAAAGUGAUUUCUGGAAAUUAGCUCUUGAAUCAGUAGACAAUAAGGAAUAUCUGACCUCACCAAUGCAGGCAGGCAUCAUACAAUCUGAGUGUCCUGAUAGACCAAAAAAGACAAGGAAAGUGAACCCUCACUCUUUCUUUGUGAGCUGAUAUGCACAUCUCUCCUAUCCUCAGGAUCAGAGCUCUGCACUCCAAGACUUGGACAAGCACCCUCUCCCCAUCACUCCCACCCCAGUCCUCAGGCCCCUGGCCUUGUACUGGGAGUAACACGCUUGUCUCCCCCAGACCUACACUGAAUGGUUCCCCUGGGUCUGCAGCUUGUACAGCAUACCCUGGGACUCCCACGCUCACUCUGUGACUGUGUGAGCCAAUCCCCAAGGUGGACGUUCUCUCACUUACCUCUGUGUAGCCUGCUGGCUCUGUUUCUCUGGAGAACUCUAACAGCGCACAUCACAUAACAAACACUGUCACUGUGUCUGCACAGCUGUGCAUACAAGGCUGUGCUGCAGUGGUGAUGAUUUGUUUCUGAAUCACAGUAAAGCAGUUUUCACAGACAUGGCACAAGGCUUUGAUACCUUAUCCUUGCUCUUCUGUCCAUGAAUUCUAUGCCUUCUUGUUUUACUUCCUUCUAAACCUUCUGUUGAAUUUAAGAUUUUUAGCUAUUAGGUUUUUAGCUCCUAGGCACUCUAUCUGCUGUGUAUUCCUUUUCCAUAGUGUUACAUUAUGCUGUUUCACAGAUGUAAUAUCUUCUCUCCUCUUUAUGAGAAUUUUGCUUGCAGGGGUUUUAAAUGUUUUUUUUUUUUUGCUUCUUGCAUUUUCUCUGCUUCAUCUUUCCAGUUCCUUUUUUCUUUUCUUUUUCUUGUUCACUUUGGUCUUUUUAUUCUUUCUUCAAAUGUCUGUGGUUCUUGGUUACCCAUUGCAAUACAGGAAUUAGGCACUACAAAGCUGACUAGAAGCUGUAGGACCAUGAGUGUUUGUGUCCACAAUCUAGGGACACUGACUCAGAUGAGGGAGGCAAGGGAGGAGCCCCUCUGUGUGGGGUAGAGACCAAGAGUUCUCAUAGGAACUUCUAGAAAAGCACCUCCAACAAAAAUAUAAUAAAAAUCACAUACAUAAAUUUAGAGUCUAGCAGCCAUAUCUUAAAGAGUAAAAAGAAACAGUUGAAAUUUAUAAGAAUAUAUUUUAUUUAGCUCACUAUGCCCCGAAUACUACAAUUUUAACAUUCAAACAACAUGGAAAUUAUUAAUGAAAUUUUAUAAUUUUUACUUUCACACCAGAUCUUUAGAAUCUUGAAUGUCUUACAUCUGCAGCACAUUUCAUUUGGACUGCCCAUGUCCCCAGGGCCCAGUGGCCCCCAGUGGUCAGUGGCUGCUGUAUUGAGCAGCUCAGAUCUGGGGCUUCUUAGACCCAGGACACAGGGGAUCCAUGACUCAUCAGCCAGAUGCCAUGGAGGAAAAAUACACUACGUGUUUUAGAGUUUCCCUUCCCUUACCUGGGAAACAAAGUUGGAAUCGCUCAAGCCUCUGCUUCUAUUUACCUUUCUGCCUGGGUUGUUAGCAAGAAGGUUGGGUUCAAAAGAGGGCAAAGAGUAGAGGGACAGCCAGGAGAGCCACUGCCCAGUGAGUGCCACUGGGUGUCAGGCAUGGCGCUGGUGACCACACUUAGCAGCUCUGGGUUUCAGAUGGGCUAAUUCUGAGAGUGGAUCAGCUUCUUCACAGCAGGCAACAGGAUGGUCUGUCUCCUCCGUUCUUACCAUUUAUAAACUCCAGAGCCUGGUGUCUGGCAGGCAGCUGCCCUUCACAUCAUGGGGACCUGACUGAAUGGAGAGCCCAGAGUCACACCCAGGGCCAGAGGCCCCAAAGCCCUGUCUGCCCAUGGUUUUGCUGUUUCCACCGAGGUGGACAGCUGAUGGCUCUGGAGUCCUUAGCUCCUUCCUCAUCUGCCCUCAGCCUCUUUGUGAUGUUAGGAGAUUCUAGGAAUUGUGCAGUAGCUGGGAAGAGCUAGUAGCCUUCAAGUCGCAGAGCUGUGGACAAAGUGUUUAGGAACAGAGGACAGGUGAGGCUUAGGUCCUGGAGCUGGACUACAGGAUGGGCACCACUCCCACCUCUGUGGCCUUGGGCUUGAUUCUUAAAUGCUUUGUGUCUCAGCACCUGCCUCUGUGAGGUGGAUAAACAAUACUGUCACCUCUUGGAGGACUGUGAAGAUUUCGUGACAGAAAUUCACGAAAAAACCUUAUACCACGGUGAGGCAGAUAAUCACUGCUCAAUAAACAGUAGCUGAGAUCUGCCCUCCAGUCUCCGUGUCUAUCCCAUGUCCUGUGUUUUUGUUUCCAGUUUCCCCAUUUGGCCAAGUGCUCGAGUCAUAAAAGUUUGGAGUUUUGCAUCAAGGAGUGGGAGCCGC